GCCUUCUUAGUUCAGUGGUUAGAAUUUUUCACUAGUAUUCGUGGUCUCUUGACUCGUACUACGAUGAAAGGGUCACCCGUUCAAUUCGGGUAGAAGGCA
rnacentral:tRNA from 1 species